UACAGAGGGUGCGAGCGUUGUUCGGAAUUACUGGGCGUAAAGGGCGCGUAGGCGGUUCGUUAAGUCCUGUGUGAAAUCCCCCGGCUCAACUGGGGAACUGCACAGGAAACUAGCGGGCUUGAGUUCGGGAGAGGGAAGCGGAAUUCCGGGUGUAGCGGUGAAAUGCGUAGAUAUCCGGAGGAACACCGGUGGCGAAGGCGGCUUCCUGGACCGACACUGACGCUGAGGCGCGAAAGCUAGGGGAGCAAACGGG
rnacentral:rRNA from 1 species